AAUUAAAAAUUGAGAAGCAUCUUUCUCCUCUGUUCCACUGCCUAAAAUUGAUUCAUGCCAAACCAAAACCAGAUCGAUUCAAGCCAAACCAAAAAACAAAGUAAAUUAGGCCUGAAAUUUUUGGUUUGCUAUAUUUCUUUCACACCUUCCAAAAUUUAGAUCAAGAUGAUAGAAAACUGUUUUGGUAAUCCAAUACAAAACUCCAAAUCAAUCUUUCACACUUUCCAUAUUUUGAAGUUGAUGUAGUGUAUUGGGUAGAAAUCGGAAGUGCUUCACCAUGUCCUGCGUUCUUCCUCCUACCAAUGUCUUCCAGGGACUUAGGAAGGUGGAAUAUCUGUUUUGUAGAAUAAUUUGUGGAUUUGAAUAGAAACUUGUACAAAACUUAGCCAUUAUUUUCUUUUAUUUGAAAUUUUUUAUUCUUUUGUUACCUACUGCAGUGAUACAUUAUUUUUAGAUUAUUUUUAUAAUCAGUUGUACAUUAUGUAAACCGUAGGUUAUUUUUAUUCUUUUCUUUUCUAUUUUUAAGGGAAUUUAAUCAGCUGUUAAACCGUUUUUUCCCCUAAAUUUUAGAUACUCCAUUUAUUUAGGAAACUUAAUUUUGUAACUCAUUAUUCUAUCCGGAAAUUUAGUCUCAAAUCUGAUGUUUUCUUUUC